ACUGGAAUUGCUGGAUCAUAUGCUAACUCUGUUUAACCUUUUGAGGAAUCACCAGACUGUUCUCCAAAAGUGUUGCACCAUUUUAAAUUCCCACCAGCAGU
rnacentral:pre_miRNA from 1 species